rfam:Triticum aestivum genome assembly, contig: Triticum_aestivum_CS42_TGACv1_scaffold_577258_7BL
UUUAUACUCUCUCUGUCCGAAAAUACUUGUCAUCAAAAUGGAUAAAAAAAGAUGUAUUUAGAACUAAUAUAUGUCUAGAUACAAUACCCUUUUAUUCAUUUUGAUGACAAGUAUUCCCGGACGGAGUGAGUACCAA